GAGUCGGUGUGAUUAGGAGGUGGAUUUAUUUGCGUAGUUGGGGGAUCAGUGACACGUUUGGGUGUCUCUCCCCGUGAUCUCCGCUGGCCUGGGAGGGAGAGGGAUGGACGGUGGGUGUUGGAGGCCAUUGUCAGUUUGAGAAUCAUGGAGCACUUGGUCCUUAACCUUCGCAUGUCCCGUUAGUAAACAAGAGUACUUCCUAAUAAUUAUCAAUGUGAAUAUAUCUAGUAGUGGAGUGGAGCACACAGAAAACAUCAGAAACAACGGAAACAUAGGCUAAGAAGUUGAUGAGUAACUUCAGUUUUACUUAAAACUGGCAGCCUCAAUUAUGAUACCUAUUAAAUAGGACGCAGAAGUUGGUGCUAAAGAUUUACACAGGUCACGUGCUCCUAUGGCGCGAUUACUUCUACGGUAUGCAAACUAAGCGAGAAUUCUACCCAUGAGACUGAUGACAACCGGUUGCGUGAUUAAUAUUAGAUUAGAUUCUGGGGUCAAGAUGUGCUCUCGGAGGUUACAUCUGCCACAAAACCCAGUACUAUGUAUAGCUCUGGGGAUGUCUGGUAGGCAUCUCAUCGGUGAGCGACAUCGCUUAAAUGAAAUGCACGAUAAAUGCGCCGAGCCGAUGCUGAAAGCGAACGACUACUUGCCGCAGCAGCGGGCCCAUAUACGAGGUGGAGAUUUUUCUCGAGUCUUGUGACGGCGUAGCAUUGAGUGACACAAAUUUUAGUAAAUCCUCCCUGUAGUUUGUGAGCCUGCACGAGAGACUGCUAAUUGGAGGAUAUAGAUUUUCGAUAACGAAAUGGAGCUGCACUCGCUA
rnacentral:lncRNA from 1 species